rnacentral:rRNA from 1 species
AUACGGAGGGUGCAAGCGUUGUUCGGAAUCACUGGGCGUAAAGGGCGCGCAGGCGGUUUGGUAAGUCAGAUGUGAAAGCCCAUGGCUCAACCAUGGAAGUACAUUUGAAACUGUCAGACUUGAGUACUAGAGGGGAAAGUGGAAUUCCCGGUGUAGAGGUGAAAUUCGUAGAUAUCGGGAGGAAUACCGGUGGCGAAGGCGACUUUCUGGCUAGAUACUGACGCUGAGGCGCGAAAGCGUGGGGAGCAAACAGGAUUAGAUACCCCAGUAGUCC